AAUUUUCGAUUAGUUGGUGAAGUUUAAAGAAUUUUCUAUAUAAACUUAUAAAAGUGCAGUGAAGGUGGGUGACUUGUCACGUUCCUGGUUGCGUAGGAAAUAAGAAUGAAUGAAGAAAUAGAGAAACAAUGAGAUUACAUGGUUUUCCAACUAGGAAUGACAAGGCAAGACAGAUACUACAGUCACUCAAAGAAUGAAAUUGUAUCGGCAGGGAAAUAGUUAAAACAAACAAGCAGUUAAUAAACGUUCAAAGCUUCUUGCAAACUCUGAAAGAUCAAAGUUACAUCGUCAAAGAAAACAACUGCAUGAAAAUACAAAGGUUACUGCCAAUUUAUUAGAAAAUCUUGAG